GCAGCGAUUAAACAGCCGCGACAACACGCGUUCGCUAUAUCGCUAUCGAUCAGAAAAUAAAGUUUCGUUCAUUUGAGAGAUUACUUGUGCGCUUGCGUCCGACUAGACCUGUGUAAACGUAGGUUUCAAACGGUCGUACAGUCGACGACGCGCACCGGGUGCGUCAGGAUGUAUCGUUCGUCCAACCUUGACGACGUCCUGCGGAACGAGCAUUACGAGAACGAUAUACGGUACGCGUUUCAAUUAUGCCUGUGGAUCCUAAAACCGAUCGGCAUUUACCCUUUCAUCUACAGCCGUGCGAAUAGACUCGAGCGAAUGGUAUCGGUGGUGUUAAUAUUGAUAUGCUGCCUUGUCGUGCAAUUCGUCAUUGUACCGUUCGGUUAUUAUAUUCUUUUCUAUGAAAAAGACACGAAUACAAGAAUCAAAUUUCUCGGCCCCCUCGCAUUCUGCGUGACAUCGUUCUUUAAGUAUGGUUACUUGAGUCUGAAGGGUCGAGCCUUCGAGCGCUGCAUCGUGCACGUGGAGAGAGACUGGAGGCUCUUGCGAGACCAAGAUCAUCGUGCCAUCAUGAUCAGGCACGUGACCAUGAGUCGGAAUCUCAUCACUCUAUGUGCCGCUUUCAUGUACACUGGCGGUCUCUCCUACCACACGAUCAUGCCGUUAUUAUCCAAGAGCGUGGUCAACGAGAACGUCACGAUCAGACCAUUGACUUACCCUGGCUACGAAGCAUUUUUCGAUAUCCAGGAGAGUCCCACGUACGAGAUCGUGUACUGUAUGCAUUGCAUUUACGUUUUGGUAAUCGGUAACAUCACGAUGGCCGCUUACAGUCUGACCGCCGUCUUCACGAGUCAUGCUUGCGGUCAAAUAGAGAUACAGACAUCGCGAUUGGAGCACUUGACCAACGGAAAGAGAUCCCCGCGAAAGUAUGCGAGCUACGAAAACCAUAUAGCGAUAGUCGUGAGAAAUCACGUGAAAAUAUUGAGAUUUACGAAAGACGUGGAGAAAGCGAUGCAGGAGAUAUUGUUAAUGGAAGUAGUAAUGUCCACUUUACUAAUAUGCUUGCUCGAAUAUUAUUGCAUGAUGGAAUGGGAAACCAGCGAUUCGAUUGCGAUACUAACGUACGUUAUUCUGUUGACUUCCUUCAUCUUCAGCAUUGCGAUAUACUGCUACGUGGGAGAACUUCUUCUUGGACAGGGUGACAACAUUGCAACGGCUUCCUACAAAAUUGACUGGUAUAAUCUAUCUGGAAGGACAGCACGUGGUAUCGUUUUGGUGCUCGCUGUAUCCAAAUAUCCACCUAAGCUAACGGCUGGCAAGAUACUUGACCUGUCGUUGAACACGUUUGGAGUUGUACUAAAAUCGUCGUUGGUCUAUUUGAAUAUGCUGCGAACGAUUACCGAUUCUAAUUGAAAUUAUCGAAUAAAAUUUUAUGUUUCAAUGCUGCAUGAUUUAUCCACCAUUCGAUAAACCAACUAACAAAAAUAAUCGUCGUUGAACUACUGAUUUUAGACUAUACCGAUCAUUUAUAAAAAUAUGUAAAAAACACUAAUGUACCGUUCGAUUCUCUGUUAUCCUGAUUCGUGGAGCAUAAUUAUUGCUGGAUACCUUCAAGAGCUGACGCUGAAUUUCACAAUGAUAGAUAUUAUCUGUUAACCAGUGCGAUCCGAAACUGAUUUAUAGUAAAUAAAAC